CAUACUUGGACUGUGAUCCAAAGCUGCCUUUUAAACUAAGAAUAGAAACUUCUUUGUUCUAAUUACAUUUCAGCAAUCACACUUACAAACCAACAUAGCCAACCACUUCAGAGGAAAGAAUUUGAAUGGAAGUGCGCAUCUCUCCACCUGCUCCAAAUAGACCAACAUCAUAAGCAAUCUCCCGUAUUUUCCUCAUCCCUCCUCCUCUUCCUCCCUUUACUUUCUUA
rnacentral:lncRNA from 1 species